UAGCCUAGAAGAUAUUUAUGAUAAAUCCAAACUUGUUUAAUUUUUAAUUUUUGGUAUGUUGAUAUUUUAAUUAUAUAUUAAUACAUGCUUGCUUGUAUCUUAUAGGAGUACUAUCGAUUUGAGACUCUCUAGGAUGAGGAGGUUGGCCAUCGGACCUUCGAGGAGGUGGCCACACAGAGGUCCUAAGAUGGCCUCUAUAACCUCAGGCAGUCUGUCAUCUAGCACAUCGAUUUCCUCC
rnacentral:lncRNA from 1 species